GACGGUAUAUCAUUGCCCGUUUUUCAACUUAUGUCGGCUUGGACAGGGUCUCGGAAUCGACUUUUCUCAUUGUAUGACGUGUAACUACUGUUUGGGGAUAAAGUUAUUGGAUCAUAAGUGUAGGGAGAAAGGUUUGGAAAUGAAUUGCCCUAUUUGCUAUGAUUUUUUAUUUACGUCAAAUGCAGCUGUUAGAGCGCUUCCCUACGGUCAUUUUAUGCACUCUGCUUGCUUCCAGGCGUAUGCUUGCACACACUACAUCUGUCCUAUAUGCAGCAAAUCUAUGGGAGAUAUGUCGGUAAGCGACUGCUUUUUUAUUUACUUACGUUUAAACUCAAUUUACUAAGGGAAAGGUUUUGGUAACUCGAAGGAUAUGCAUCUUUAAAGGGACUCGACUAUCUUUAAAUUGUGUAUCCACUGUAUCACUAAUUUAUGUAACAUGAGACUUUGUAUUUUAUUUUAUUUGUACACUUGAUAUUUAUCUUAAUAGUUUUUUC